UACGAAGGGGGCUAGCGUUGCUCGGAAUCACUGGGCGUAAAGGGUGCGUAGGCGGGUCUUUAAGUCAGGGGUGAAAUCCUGGAGCUCAACUCCAGAACUGCCUUUGAUACUGAAGAUCUUGAGUUCGGGAGAGGUGAGUGGAACUGCGAGUGUAGAGGUGAAAUUCGUAGAUAUUCGGAAGAACACCAGUGGCGAAGGCGACUCACUGGACAGGUAUUGACGCUGAGGUGCGAAAGCGUGGGGAGCAAACAGGG
rnacentral:rRNA from 1 species